UUAUCUUAUUUGAAAAGUGAUAUUGCAGAACUUCAUGAAAAGAUUUUAAAAAAAUCUAUGAAUAAUUAACUAUUAUUAUCUACUUUGAUGAAGUUCCAGUUAUUAUUAACAGGUGAUCCUUACAAUAUUCAAAUUUUCGUCCCAGAUAUUUUAAAGUUUUUGUUUCUCAUAUGUUUCACUUUGUUGGUUGUAAAAUACAAAUUGUACAUAAACACAAAUAUGUAUAACUAAGUACAUAAACACAAAUAUGUAUAACUAAGUACAUAAACACAAAUAUGUAUAACUAAGUAUAACUUUUUAAUAAUCCUCAUACCAAAUAUAUCUGACUUCCUGUAAAAUUGAUAUUUCUUGUUUCUUUGUUUUUCAUGUGAGUUUUUUUUUACUUUAUCAUACAGUGUUAUGUUAUUGGCAUAAUGGUUGAACAUUUCCCCAAAGUAAUUGUAAAAUCAUAUAAAAUUCUCAAAUAAUCUUUAAUAUAUCCAAUAUUUUUUUUAUUUUUAUCUAAGACAUGGUAUGUUUCUUAACCAGAUAUUUAUUCUUGUUGUAAAUGCGUGUAUUAUUAUGCCCCCCUUCGAAGAAGAGGGGGUAUAUUGUUUUGCUCAUGUCGGUCCGUCCGUCCUUCCACCAGAUGGUUUCCGGAUGAUAACUCAAGAACGCUUAGGCCUAGGAUCAUGAAACUUCAUAGGUAGAUUGAUCAUGACUGGCAGAUGACCCCUAUAGAUUUUCAGGUCACUAGGGCAAAGGUCAAGGUCACAGUGACUCGAAAUAGUAAAAUGGUUUUUGGAUGAUAACUCAAGAAUGCUUACGCCUAGGAUCAUGAACAUUCAUAGGUAGGGUAAAGUGAUUGUGAGUCGGACAGUGUUUUCCGUUUCGAAUGAUUUGAGCUAUAUUUAGAACUCUCAGGACGGUUUCUUCAUACUGGUACCCAGCCUAUUAUUCCCGCUACCCAUUUCAACCAUAUUUGCAGGCAAAACGGUUUUGAUUUCGCCUAUAUGUGUAGUUGAAUACAGCUACUCCAGUUCGAUUGUGAGUCGGACAGUUUUGAUAUUGAGUCGGACAGUGAGAGAUGUCAUAGUAAAUGACCAUAUAUUAUAUGGUUUAAUACUAUUUUAAGUCAAUAAUGCAAAAAAUAUUUGUUCUAUUAAUGCUUUUUCAAUAUUUGGUUUAAAUUGAAAUGAAUUAAUCUAAUUAAAUGAUGUAAAAUUACUUAUAUACUUAUGUUAUCGACCAGUGGUUGUUACACGCGCUUCUAAGCUCGGCGACCCGGGUUCGACUUCGCUCCCGGUGCAUACAAGUUCGAUUGGUGGUUGCCAUGCUAGACCAGCGAGGUUUUGCUUUUCACACUAUUCAAGAGUAUCAGGUUAAUAUUGGGCAACUAUAUAGUUACGAUGCCUUGCUAAAUGCACUACGUGUGUUAGCGUGUGUGGACAUGAACGUCUAUGAAGCCCAUCGGGUAUCGAAAACAAGUUGAAGAUUGAAGAUUCGUGUUUUCAAGCUUAAGAUAAAUACAAUGUAAAGCAUAAUUUCUAAUUUGUAUUUAUGAGUUAUCCAGUAACAAAACCACUAAAACAUGUGUGUACACGACUUAUUUUUCUUUUGAUGCAUUACAUGUCAUGACCGUGUGCCUGUUUGCUGCAGUUACCUGAGGGCUUCGCAAGGAGAACUCAGGGUUCCUAGCUUUCAGCUUUAUCAAUAUCCACCACAUAUCCGAAGGCCUGCCACGCUUAAACUGAUCGGCAAAAAUCCCCACGUACCUUAAAAUGUUACCUUUACUAAACCCAAGACCCCUGGCCGCUUAUGAAGUGGCAGCCUCAAUAAGAGCCUGUUUCGCAGCAACGAAAGCCGAUGCUGCAAUUCUGCAUCGGCCCGCGCAGCUUUGAAAACUUUUCUGGCGACAUUUUUGGCCCGAAGGUAACAUCACCCUUUUGGUAAAUUCAAUACAGUCUUCGUGGUAUUAAUUAAAAAGUGAAAUACGACACCACAAACUAUUAACUACAAAGUGCAAACAGUGUAAAAUUGUGGUAAAAUCCUAUUAUUACCAACGUAGCCCAAUUUCUCACAUGAUAUUUUUGUAUGAAUACACAUAGUUAAAUAUCAAUGAAUUUCGGAAAACGCAACAUGUAAGAAUUUGGUUAACGUGCUCAUUUUGUGCUGGAAAUGAACUUUUAAACAAAAGUAGUAAAAAAACACUGCACAAAUUAAUUAGAACAAUCUAGCUCAGACCGAGCAAACUGUUUGAUGAAUGGAACAUAUAAGAGCUAUUGGACUUGUCAACAUUUGCAUUUAGUUCCACGUAAACACGUAAUAAAAUAGGCUUAUUUCUGUAUUUUAGACCUAUCUGUAAGCUUUCAUAUGCUAAUAUAGGUUAAACAUUGUUUAUUCAAAACUGACAAUGAGUCUGACAGUGUCCGACUCAAUAUCAAAAUGCAUUGUUUUGCUGUCCGACUCAAUAUCUAAAAUGGUUCAUGUUGUCGGUCGGGAAAAUGUUGAUCAAUUCAAAGAAACUACGAUUAAACUUAAAUUUAGUUUGCAAAAUGAUCAUAAAUCUACAGCUUAAACAAUGAUGUCAAUUGCUCGAACAGAUUUCAACACUGCUAGUCUGUUUCAAAUGCAAACAAAACUUACUUCUUUUGCGUUGUCAAUUUUGCAAUUCACGCCCGUGAAGGUAUUUUUAGAAAUGAUUUCAGGAAUGCUGGGAAGAACGCCACAACAGACAAACAACUUAUUUGAUUGGUUUAAAUAUUUAUUUCGGUUAAUGUACACUUGUUUACAUGCAGAACUGUCUAAAAUCGACAGAAAAACGGGUCCAAAAACAUCCGACUUCAGAUCGUGUCCGACUCCCGAUCACUUUACCCUACAUUGAUCAUGACCGGCAGAUGACCCCUAUUAAUUUGCAUGUCACUAGGUCAAAGGUCAAGGUCACAGUGACUCAAAACAGUAUGGUUUCCUGAUGAUAACUCAAGAAUUAUUAGGCCUAGGAUCAUGAAACUGCAUAGGUACAUUGCUCAUCACUGGCAGAUGACCCCUAUUGAUUUUCAGGUCACUAGGUCAAAGGUCAAGGUCACAGUGACAAAAACCUUAUUUACACAAUGGCUGCCACUACAACUGACAGCCCAUAUGGGGGGCAUGCAUGUUUUACAAACAGCCCAUGUUAUUUACUGGUGAAACAAAAACAUUGAAAUAUCA